CUUGAAAACACAUUUCCACAAAGAAAUCCUGUUUGAUCAAGAAUCACAGCUGGUCCUUUGUCUCUUAUCGCGUCAUCAAGGAGGGGUUACAAGCCAGGGAAGUAUCUUCAUGGGUCAGUACCUGGAAUGCUAGUAUCCAAAACAAAGAUAACCAAGGAACAGAACAACAAGCUAGGGAACUGGAACAAACUGAUGGACUGGAUUUUAGAGCCAUGUAAUGAGAUGUGUAAUUUGUAAAUUCAUAUAAAUACCAACUGAAAUG